UCAUGAUUUACAUUUGAGUGAGUGGCGAACUGGUGAGUAACACGUGGGAAACCUGCCCAGAAGGGGGGAUAACACCUGGAAACAGAUGCUAAUACCGCAUAACAACUUGGACCGCAUGGUCCGAGUUGAAAGAUGGCUUCGGCUAUCACUUUUGGAUGGUCCCGCGGCGUAUUAGCUAGAUGGUGGGUAACGGCUCACCAUGGCAAUGAUACGUAGCCGACCUGAGAGGGUAAUCGGCCACAUUGGGACUGAGACACGGCCCAAACUCCUACGGGAGGCAGCAGUAGGGAAUCUUCCACAAUGGACGAAAGUCUGAUGGAGCAACGCCGCGUGAGUGAAGAAGGGUUUCGGCUCGUAAAACUCUGUUGUUAAAGAAGAACAUAUCUGAGAGUAACUGUUCAGGUAUUGACGGUAUUUAACCAGAAAGCCACGGCUAACUACGUGCCAGCAGCCGCGGUAAUACGUAGGUGGCAAGCGUUGUCCGGAUUUAUUGGGCGUAAAGCGAGCGCAGGCGGUUUUUUAAGUCUGAUGUGAAAGCCUUCGGCUCAACCGAAGAAGUGCAUCGGAAACUGGGAAACUUGAGUGCAGAAGAGGACAGUGGAACUCCAUGUGUAGCGGUGAAAUGCGUAGAUAUAUGU
rnacentral:rRNA from 1 species